CAACAUGCCCAGGGCGACGUGAAUAACCUUCGGGAAACUGAGGAUAAUACCGCUGGGAUAUGGUCACCUACUUCUGGCAAUGGGUAAUGAGCCCAAACCUAUAUGGCCCCUGGAUUGGACUGCGGCCGAUCAGGCUGUUGGUGAGGUAAUGGCCCACCAAACCUGUAACCGGUACGGGCUCUGAGAGGAGGAGCCCGGAGAUGGGCACUGAGACAAGGGCCCAGGCCCUAUGGGGCGCAGCAGGCGCGAAACCUCUGCAAUAGGCGAAAGCUUGACAGGGUUACUCUGAGUGAUUUCCGUUAAGGAGAUCUUUUGGCACCUCUAAAAAUGGUGCA
rnacentral:rRNA from 1 species